rnacentral:misc_RNA from 1 species
UUUUAUUCCGAUGACCCCAUAACUACUUGCCGGAAGAUUGUCCACUGGAAAAAUCAUUUGAAGUUCCCAGAAGAUGCACGCCUGACACCUGAAGCAAAGGAUCUGAUCUGUAGAUUGCUGUGUGAUGUCGAGCACAGGCUAGGCAGUGGAGGAGCGGAUCAAAUAAAGGCCCAUCCAUGGUUUAGAGAUGUUGCUUGGGAUAAACUUUAUGAAAUGGAGGCUGCAUUUAAGCCCGAGGUCAAUGAUGAACUAGAUACUCAGAACUUUCUGAAGUUUGAUGAACUGGAUCCUCCGUCAAGAACUGGCUCUGGACCUACAAGGAAGAUGCUGCUGACGCCCCAAGAUCUAAGCUUUGUUGGGUAUACAUAUAAGAACUUCG